AUGGGGAACUUGGCCGUUGUAAGUUUCGGAACAAAAGGAAACAUAAAUCCUCUACAUGAUUUUGAUAUGCCAUUCACCAGAGAGGUUGGGGUUAAGAUGAUUUCCAACUUGACAUUCAAGCAAGAGAAUACUCUAGCUGAUGAGCCAGUUGUGGAUCUGUUGAAAUUUUUGACCAACAAGCUUCCAUUCAAAACACCAAAAGAGUGUUUGGCUUCUUCCCUCCAUUUCCUUCUUCAUUGUUAUGUGUUCCAUCUUCAAGUGACCUUGUUCUCACAGUAUCUUGAACACUCUCCACAUUCUUCUUACUUAUGA